rnacentral:rRNA from 1 species
GAUGAACGCUGGCGGCGUGCCUAAUACAUGCAAGUCGAGCGAACAGAUGAGGAGCUUGCUCCUCUGACGUUAGCGGCGGACGGGUGAGUAACACGUGGAUAACCUACCUAUAAGACUGGGAUAACUUCGGGAAACCGGAGCUAAUACCGGAUAAUAUAUUGAACCGCAUGGUUCAAUAGUGAAAGACGGUUUUGCUGUCACUUAUAGAUGGAUCCGCGCCGCAUUAGCUAGUUGGUAAGGUAACGGCUUACCAAGGCAACGAUGCGUAGCCGACCUGAGAGGGUGAUCGGCCACACUGGAACUGAGACACGGUCCAGACUCCUACGGGAGGCAGCAGUAGGGAAUCUUCCGCAAUGGGCGAAAGCCUGACGGAGCAACGCCGCGUGAGUGAUGAAGGUCUUCGGAUCGUAAAACUCUGUUAUUAGGGAAGAACAAAUGUGUAAGUAACUAUGCACGUCUUGACGGUACCUAACCAGAAAGCCACGGCUAACUACGUG